CCUACGGGAGGCAGCAGUGGGGAAUAUUGGACAAUGGGCGAAAGCCUGAUCCAGCAAUGCCGCGUGAGUGAUGAAGGCCUUAGGGUUGUAAAGCUCUUUUACCAGGGAUGAUAAUGACAGUACCUGGAGAAUAAGCUCCGGCUAACUCCGUGCCAGCAGCCGCGGUAAUACGGAGGGAGCUAGCGUUGUUCGGAAUUACUGGGCGUAAAGCGUACGUAGGCGGUUAUUCAAGUCAGAGGUGAAAGCCUGGAGCUCAACUCCAGAACUGCCUUUGAAACUAGAUAGCUAGAAUCACGGAGAGGUUAGUGGAAUUCCGAGUGUAGAGGUGAAAUUCGUAGAUAUUCGGAAGAACACCAGUGGCGAAGGCGACUAACUGGACGUGUAUUGACGCUGAGGUACGAAAGCGUGGGGAGCAAACAGGAUUAGAUACCCUGGUAGUCCACGCCGUAAACGAUGAUAACUAGCUGUUCGGUCUCUACGAGACUAGAGUGGCGCAGCUACGACAUUAAGUUAGUCCGUCCGUCGGGUAGGUACGGUCGCGAGAGUAAACGUACUAAUAGUAAGUUAGUUACGUCGUUGAGACGNGCGACGGACGACGACGAGGGAGGAGG
rnacentral:rRNA from 1 species